UGGGGAAUAUUGCGCAAUGGGGGAACCGUGCACGCAGCAACGCCGCGUGAAGGAAGACGGUUUUCGGAUUGUAAACUUCAGCAAGCAGGGAAGAAAGAAAUGACGGUACCUGAACAAAAGCCACGGCUAACUACGUGCCAGCAGCCGCGGUAAUACGUAGGUGGCAAGCGUUGUCCGGAUUUACUGGGUGUAAAGGGCGCGUAGGCGGGCGAGUAAGUCAGACGUGAAAUACCGGGGCUCAACCCCGGGGCUGCGUUUGAAACUGCUUGUCUUGAGUGCCGGAGAGGAAAGCGGAAUUCCUAGUGUAGCGGUGAAAUGCGUAGAUAUUAGGAGGAACACCAGUGGCGAAGGCGGCUUUCUGGACGGUAACUGACGCUGAGGCGCGAAAGCGUGGGGAGCAAACAGGAUUAGAUACCC
rnacentral:rRNA from 1 species